UACGUAGGUGGCGAGCGUUGUCCGGAUUUACUGGGCGUAAAGAGCGCGCAGGCGGUCGUACAAGUCGCGUGUGAAAGCCCCUGGCUCAACUGGGGAGGGUCACGCGAUACUGUUCGACUUGAAGGCAGGAGAGGGAAGUGGAAUUCCCGGUGUAGUGGUGAAAUGCGUAGAUAUCGGGAGGAACACCUGCGGCGAAGGCGGGUUGCUGGGCUGACACUGACGCUGAGGCGCGAAAGCCAGGGGAGCGAACGGG
rnacentral:rRNA from 1 species